rnacentral:rRNA from 1 species
AUUGAACGCUGGCGGCAUGCCUUACACAUGCAAGUCGGACGGCAGCACGGGGCAACCUGGUGGCGAGUGGCGAACGGGUGAGUAAUGCAUCGGAACGUACCUUUCAGUGGGGGAUAACGUAGCGAAAGUUACGCUAAUACCGCAUAUUCUGUGAGCAGGAAAGCAGGGGAUCGCAAGACCUUGCGCUGAUUGAGCGGCCGAUGUCAGAUUAGCUAGGUGGUGAGGUAAAGGCUCACCAAGGCGACGAUCUGUAGCGGGUCUGAGAGGAUGAUCCGCCACACUGGAACUGAGACACGGUCCAGACUCCUACGGGAGGCAGCAGUGGGGAAUUUUGGACAAUGGGGGCAACCCUGAUCCAGCCAUGCCGCGUGAGUGAAGAAGGCCUUCGGGUUGUAAAGCUCUUUCAGCCGGGAAGAAAUCGCACGGGCUAAUACCCUGUGUGGAUGACGGUACCGGAAUAAGAAGCACCGGCUAACUACGUGCCAGCAGCCGCAGUAACAC